UAUUUGUAUCAACAUGAUUCCCGUCCAUCUUUGCGUUACAUUUUUUAUUUUUUCCUUUGCCUUGUUUCUGCAUUGUGCAAUUAUGAAUGA
rnacentral:ribozyme from 13 species